GCCCCCUCUUUCCCUCCCCCGGACCCCGCGUGCCCACGGGGCUGUCCGGGUGCAGGGCCCCCGCGUCCAGAAGGACUGGACGGAGAGGCACAGGUGCUGGGGGCUGUCAUGUGCCCAGGACCCCACCUGGAGGGCGGAGCAGGGUGCUGCUAACCUCAGGACAGUUACCUUAAGGAAAAUUCCGCCUAUGAGAGAUGAUGCCACGGUGCGAUUUGCCUGCCUCGGGCAAGAUCGGGUUGGACAUCGAGGUGCCCGGGACCCCUCCCCGCAGCAGCCAGACUCCCCGCGGCGGAGGGGGCCCUGGGAACGCAGGGGCGCCCGCUCUUGGAGGUGAAAGCCCACGUGUCUCGAACUCGCCUCCCCCACCCCAAGCUCGGCCAAACCGGUCUCCCGCUCAGAAGGAGGAAUUCGAUCAAAUGUUAAUCCUCUCCACAUGUAGAAUAUUCCAGAUAGCCCCGAGCUCAUAGUGCCUUUUGAACUUGUGAACAGAAAUUGAUUCAAGGUGACGAAUUUGUAAUCAGUUUAUGAUUGAUGGGCCGCGUUUCCAGAAAGGCAGCUCUGUGUCCUUUCCUCCUUCCCGGGAAGCAAAUGUGUUUCACUUUAUCUGCCCUCAUCUCAGGACCCGGAGGACCAGGAGAAAGAAAAUAAAGUCGACUGCAAUAUUUAACUUG